rnacentral:lncRNA from 1 species
CGGACCAAGUGCCCCCUGCACUUUCAACGCCGUAGGUCUCCCGGCAGCCCUGGAAGGACAGUCUUACCCGGACGCCACGGUGGUCUCCCGGCAGCCCUGGGAAGGACAGUCUUACCCGGACGCCACGGUGGUCUCCCGGCAGCCCUGGGAAGGACAGUCUUACCCGGACGCCACGGCCGAGCUGCCCUUCCCUCCCUGCUGCCCCCAGGGAAGGCUGCUGGUGUCCUCAGAUGCGGGCAGGAGGAACCCGCCAGCGCCUGAGAGCCUGGCCCGAACCAGGCCUGGAGGUGCUGGGGCGAAGACACAGAGGAUGUGGCCUCCAUCCCUGGUAACAGACGGUUACCAGGGCGGCUUUGGGUGAGGACAUUGAAAAAGGUCAGACUCCCUGGGAGCAGCGCCCUGGACUCCAUUCUCAUCACAGACCAGUGGUUCCCAAUUGAAGUCAGUUUUGCUCCUCAGGGCACACUUAACAACAUCUGGAGACAUUUUUAAUUGUCCUGACCGAGAGGACAAUGCUACUGGCAUCUAGUGGACAGAGGCCAGGGAUACUGCUGAACAUCCCGCAGUGCACAGGACGCCUGCAACACAGAUUAUCCAGCCCCAAACGUCAAUAGUGCCGGAGUUAUGGAACCCUAAUGAAGACAAUUCUUGAAGGCAUAGACUGAAUCUUAUUUAUCUUUGUUUCCCUCAUGUCUCACAAGCAGAGUAUGAGUUCAGCAAAUAGGAGUUGAACAGAAAUCAGGAGGAGGUGCUGAUUGACAGGAAAAAAGAAAGAUUUAGUUUAGAGCUGAGAAUUCAGCUGGACAGCCAUAGGGGCUCUGGCAUGGAGACUGGAAGUCAGAAGAGAAUUUGCAGCAAGACAUUUAGAGCCAUUUAUCCAGCCAUCAUAAUUUUAUUGAGUAACUAUUUUGUGUGAGGCACUGUACUGGAUGCUUUGGCAACAGAGAUAAGCAAGGCAACCCCUGUGAAUAAGGCACUCCUGGUCUACACACAGUGGGAGAAACAUAGAAAUUCAUCUCUUCUGAGCGGAGCCUGUGGGAACCCAGAGGAUGGACACCCAGCGUGGUCUGAGGAAUCAUGGGCCAAAACAGGAGGCAUCAGGAGAGAUCUCUUGGGUAAAGAAGAGUGAGGGCUGGAAGGAUAUUCCAGGCAGUGGGAACAACUUACAUAAAGUGAGAAUAUUGCAAAUGCCUAGCGGGUCUGUAGUGAGAGGGUCAUGAGGCGGAGGAGUGAGGUGCGUAGCAAGGAAUAGCAGGUGGGGCCAGAGCAGUAAAAUUAACCAUUGUUCUAUUUGAAGAAGGGUAGGACGCAUUUUUAGGUUUUUUGGCUAUUUCUCCUUUUGGUAAUAGCAUCUAUUUUCUUUAGAGAAUUAUCUCUUCCCCCUCACUCCUCUCCUAGUGGAGGUACAGGCAUGAGAAAAAGCUAAACCAAUGACAUGUUCUCAAAUAUAACUUACAAUCCCAGGAGUCAUGAUGAAAUGGUUGAAAAAAAAAAUAGUUGAAGCUCACUAACCUUAGCAUCACAUUUCAAUGAGAUUGUCAAAUAAUUCUUGUUUCCCAGGCCCCCAGAGCUGCCGAGUUUCUGACUUCUCUAAGCCAGGUUCACAAGCCUUCCCUUCAAUUCUGUGAGGAUUUUUUUCCCCAUUUUUCCUGAAGUUACGUGGUCACUUUCUGUUACUUGCAACCAGAGUAACUUAAUUGAUAAAGUCAGUGAGGAAGGAAUAGAAUACAACAAAUGGCUUAAAAACAGAAGGCCAAGCGUGAUGGCUCAUUCCUGUAAUCCCAGCACUUUGUGAGGCCGAGGCAGGUGGAUUGCUUGAGCUCAGGAGUUCAAGACCAACCUGGGCAACAUGGCAAAACCCCAUCUCUACCAAAAAUACAAAAAAUUAGCCGGGCGUGGUGGCUCACACCUGUAGUCCCAAUUUCUCAGAAGGCUGAGGUGGGAGGAUCACUUGAACCCAGGAGGAGGAGGUUUCAGUCAGUAGAGAUUGAACUACUAUACUCUAGCCUGGAUGACAAAGUAAGACCUUGUCAAAAAAAAAAAAAAAAAAAAAAAAAAAAAAAGAAGGAUAAUCAAGACAAUGAGCUAACACAGAAGCCAUAGUGGACUUUCUUCAAUAUUUUAAGAAAGGUGAAAAAUAGCAGGAAUUUAACCUCUCAAAAAUGCUAUUCCCAUUAUCUAUUCUUCCUCAGCUACAAAGCCCCUGAUUUCACCUAGGCACAUGGCUGCCCAAAAAAGACAACCCUGUCUGGCCCCCCUUAAACCUGAUUGUAGCUAUCUAAGUUGUAGCCAAUGAGGUGUCAGAGGAAGUACCAUGCAGUGCAACUUCUUAAGUAGCCUAGAAAGAUGGGGUCACAUCCCCCUGGGUUGUUUCCUUCUUUGUGUCAUUUUGAUCUCUCUCGCUGGAAAACAGAAAUGAUGUCUGGAGUGUAAGCAGCCAUCUUGGGCUAGGAGACUACAUGCUGACAUGGUGACACACCACCCAGAAAGAAUCUGAGUAGUCGAUGAUCACAGAGCUACCAUAUCAGCACUAGACUCUCUACCUCCACAUUUUAUUUGUGUGACAUAGAAAUAAAGUUUAAGCUUUGUUUUUUCUGGGGU